rnacentral:rRNA from 1 species
GACGAACGCUGGCGGCGUGCCUAAUACAUGCCAGUCGAACGCUGAAGAGAGGAGCUUACUCUUCUUGGAUGAGUUGCGAACGGGUGAGUAACGCGUAGGUAACCUGCCUUGUAGCGGGGGAUAACUAUUGGAAACGAUAGCUAAUACCGCAUAACAAUGGAUGACACAUGUCAUUUAUUUGAAAGGGGCAAUUGCUCCACUACAAGAUGGACCUGCGUUGUAUUAGCUAGUAGGUGAGGUAAUGGCUCACCUAGGCGACGAUACAUAGCCGACCUGAGAGGGUGAUCGGCCACACUGGGACUGAGACACGGCCCAGACUCCUACGGGAGGCAGCAGUAGGGAAUCUUCGGCAAUGGGGGCAACCCUGACCGAGCAACGCCGCGUGAGUGAAGAAGGUUUUCGGAUCGUAAAGCUCUGUUGUAAGUCAAGAACGGGUGUGAGAGUGGAAAGUUCACACUGUGACGGUAGCUUACCAGAAAGGGACGGCUAACUACGUG